GAAGAGUUUGAUCAUGGCUCAGAUUGAACGCUGGCGGCAGGCCUAACACAUGCAAGUCGAACGGUAACAGGAAGCAGCUUGCUGCUUUGCUGACGAGUGGCGGACGGGUGAGUAAUGUCUGGGAAACUGCCUGAUGGAGGGGGAUAACUACUGGAAACGGUGGCUAAUACCGCAUAACGUCGCAAGACCAAAGAGGGGGACCUUCGGGCCUCUUGCCAUCAGAUGUGCCCAGAUGGGAUUAGCUUGUUGGUGAGGUAACGGCUCACCAAGGCGACGAUCCCUAGCUGGUCUGAGAGGAUGACCAGCCACACUGGAACUGAGACACGGUCCAGACUCCUACGGGAGGCAGCAGUGGGGAAUAUUGCACAAUGGGCGCAAGCCUGAUGCAGCCAUGCCGCGUGUAUGAAGAAGGCCUUCGGGUUGUAAAGUACUUUCAGCGGGGAGGAAGGUGUUGUGGUUAAUAACCGCAGCAAUUGACGUUACCCGCAGAAGAAGCACCGGCUAACUCCGUGCCAGCAGCCGCGGUAAUACGGAGGGUGCAAGCGUUAAUCGGAAUUACUGGGCGUAAAGCGCACGCAGGCGGUCUGUCAAGUCGGAUGUGAAAUCCCCGGGCUCAACCUGGGAACUGCAUUCGAAACUGGCAGGCUUGAGUCUUGUAGAGGGGGGUAGAAUUCCAGGUGUAGCGGUGAAAUGCGUAGAGAUCUGGAGGAAUACCGGUGGCGAAGGCGGCCCCCUGGACAAAGACUGACGCUCAGGUGCGAAAGCGUGGGGAGCAAACAGGAUUAGAUACCCUGGUAGUCCACGCCGUAAACGAUGUCUACUUGGAGGUUGUGCCCUUGAGGCGUGGCUUCCGGAGCUAACGCGUUAAGUAGACCGCCUGGGGAGUACGGCCGCAAGGUUAAAACUCAAAUGAAUUGACGGGGGCCCGCACAAGCGGUGGAGCAUGUGGUUUAAUUCGAUGCAACGCGAAGAACCUUACCUGGUCUUGACAUCCACAGAACUUUCCAGAGAUGGAUUGGUGCCUUCGGGAACUGUGAGACAGGUGCUGCAUGG
rnacentral:rRNA from 1 species